ensembl:lncRNA
CGGCGAUGAAGAGCAUAUGCUCUCAUUGAAGGCAAUUUAUCUAUAUCCUCUGAAACUCUCUUGGCUAAAAUACGUUGAUUGUAAACACUAUGUUAAGUAAAGCAUGCCCAGUCACUUGAUUGUCCGUUUAUGGUGGUUUUAUGCGAUCAAACGUUGACGACAAAAACAACAAAGUUCCACGGUGGCCAGAGAAAAUCAGUCCUGACUUGAGGGCCGUUCCAAAGCGUUUUGUCAGGCAACUCUGGACAAGAACGGUGAGCCUCCACGAGGAAGACUGGUGUCCACGGCAACCCAUCCUCAUCAGGGUCUCCAGCAAUGCACCACAUUCACGGGACCUCGUGAUAAUAGGCUCCGUCGCAAGACACAGGAGGCAGCGGAGUCAGAGUGGCUACAUCUCUGCUGUGUCUGACCCAGGGGACGAGGUUCAGCACACGACACAUCAGUUACAGCAGAACAUUGCCUCUACACCAUCCCCCCCCCCAUCCCCCCGCCGCCACACAGAGCCCCUCCCCGCCCCCAAACCCCCUACCGCCCGGCCGUCGUCGUGAAGGCUAAUGGCUGCCAGCACUAGCACCAGUGGUGGUUCUCAUGUCUCGGCCACGGGUUCGGCUGUUGUCAGGAGAAGAGAGGCAUUAGAGGUCGUGAGCGGGCAAGGCUGAGCGGUCGAUUGACGAGGCCUCGGGUCAAGUGAGGCAGAAGAGGAGUAGGACGAGGAGGAGGAAGAGGACACACUCUCUGUGGCUGUACUGUGCAGAUGCAGUCCUCCUGGGGUUGCAGAAAACAGACCCAAGUAGAGUGGAAGAAUCGACAUCGGUGUCCUACAUUGUGGUCGUGUGUCUGAGGGACGGGUUCUACACUUAUUUUUAUUUCCUGUUGUCGGUUGACACAAACAUUUCAAAUGCUGGUGUCAGAGAGAGGCUAUGUCCCUUGGGCUUUUGUUACCAAGAAAACUCUUUAUGAGGGGUGUUUUUCUUUCAUAUAUUUUGUAAUUUCUUUGGUUAUAAAUGUUUAUCAUGAAAAUCCUCUUUUCUCCAAGCAUUUUUUAAAUGAUGACAUCUGUAUUUAUAUGGAUAUUUUUACAUUUCAAAAUACAAACAGGAUAAUUAUCUAACACCAGAUGCUAAUACGACCUAGGGCUAUUUACAUGCUGCUUUACUGUGACAACAUUAUCAGACUUGUGUAUGUCGCUGUCGUUUCACUUUUUAUACACCUUGUCAAUCAACUUUCUUUUUUUCAUCCACUCUCCUGUGACAGAUUUCUUAACUAAAGCUUUUCAUUUUUUCCAAUUAAUUUGCUCUAGGGAUGUAAAUCUGUUAAUUUAUGCAAUGGGAUAAAAUGUCUAUACUUCAUCUCCAGGAAUGGUUGCUUGUGUUUUAUCUUGACUACGAGCAUUUUGAGAAAGCCUCAGCCCCAAUGGACUUUGUUUCAAUGGCACACUGAAUCAUACCUUAGGAUUCUUAAUGAGAUUAAUUCAAUUUAAUGAUUUACUGGGAGCCAUUGCGAAAAUUGAGCCAAUCAAUAUUCUGCUAAUUUUCAGUCAUUUUCUUUGUGUAUUAUAACUUUGCAUUAGGCGGCAUAUAUUUUCUUUCCUUGUGAAAACAUUUACUCACACACAUGAAAAAACAAUACACACCGCAAAAAGGAUGCUCGCAUUUUCUUCAAAUUGACAAUUGCAAUUUUAACACAUGCAUGAAUGAAUUUCAAUGGAAAGCUCUGUAUAUGGUCCUUAUUCCCACAUCCGGUCCAAGUCGAGAGACAUUUUUGGGGUCAUAUCUGUGGCUUCUGUCUCCAUGCGUAGCCCAUCACACAUGCAAUCUCAGAAUAUCAACGCAUCUCAAAAAUAUUUAUUAGAGCCAACAUUACAAAAACACACAGCUGAACCUUUGAAUUAGACUUCCUAAUAUAUUCACUUGCAAAUUAAUGGUUUGUGCUUUCCCCCUGAAUAUCCACCAAUCACUGUUUGGAGCUGGGAGUUUCAUUGCACAUUUCUAAGGGCUUCAAAGUACUUUAUCCUCACUUUCUUCUGUUCAAAGUUCAAAGUGAGUCCUGAUGAAUACAUUUGCCCUGUUUGGACCUGGUUACCUCGUUCAAAGCACAGUUUAACAGCCCCACUCAGUAAAUGGCGGUGAGAGGUGAUAUGGUGCUGGGGUGCCUAUAGGACUCUAAGUAGUCUUGCUUAUUGAUUUUGUUUUAGUAUUAUGUACUCCAUAAAUCGUUUAAUGUUUAUGUUAGCCCGUUUUGCUCUUAGCUUGAGAGGGGUACAUUUCCAUAUUUUGUCUUGGCUUAAAUAUGUUCAAAUGAAGUGUUCUAUAUGUGUAUGUGUUUGUGUGUGUAUCUACAUAUGCCUUUAAUAAGUGGGAGAAAAUAAAUGGGAUUUUAAAUCCAACUAAAA